AAUUAUGGUGGGCUGGAUGGAGUCGCUUCGGCGAGCCGUUUUCUGUGUAGACGGUAUGACCAAACUCUGUUCAGCUCAUCACCCAA
rnacentral:antisense_RNA from 1 species